AGGAUCCGCGCGUUUCUAAACGAG
rnacentral:siRNA from 1 species